GAAAAGUUUUUCAAAAUUAGAAAAAAAAGGAAAUCAUGAGAAAAAACUCAAAAUAACGAGAAAAAUGGUAGGUUUCCACCUACUCAGUCCAAGGUAUGUAAUAUCUUUUAUUACUGUAUUUUAGAAAAAGAUUGCUGUCUUUUAAUGUUUUUAUUAUGUUUUCUUUUCUUGUCCACUCAUGCAAGACAUGAGGCAUAUUUCCAUCUUCUUUUAUUUGAUUGUUUUGUUCUUGUUGAAAUUUUUGUAAUUUGCACUGUUUUGAUAUCUGUAAGCCUUGGAUGAAAGUCUCUCUUCUCUUCUUUUUUCCAGCAUUAUUCAAAAUGAACCUUGAUGAAAAUUAUUUGUGAGAAAUUGUCAACAUGAAAAGAAAAAAGUUGACGUCACAAGAAAAAAGUCAAAAUGACAAAAACAAACCUCAUCUUGGUUUUAUUUCAUUGUAUUGUUCUUCUUGAAAUGUCUGUUUUUUACACUGUUAUGAUAUCUGUCAGCCUUGGAUGAAGGUCUCUCUUCUCCUUUUUUUUCUAGCAAUAUUCAAAAUGAACUUUGACAAAAUAAUUUGUGAGAAAUUGUCAACAUGAAAAGAAAAAGUUGAAGUGACGAGAAAAAAGUCAAAAUAAUUUGAAAAUUGUCAAAAUAAUGAAAAAACAUGAAAAAAAUAUCAAAAUGAGAAGAAAAAAGUUGAAGUCACGAAAAAUUAUUCAAAAUGAAAAAAAAAAGUCAAUCACGAGAAAAAACUCAAAAUAAUGAGAAAAAUGGUAGGUUUCCAGCCUACUCAAUCCAAGGUAUGUAAUAUCUUUUACUACUGUAUUUUAGAACAAGAUUUCUAUCUUUGAAUGUUUUAUUAUGUUUUCUUUUCUUGUCCACUCAUGCAAGACAUGAAGCGUGUUUUCAUCUUCUUUUAUUUGAUUGUUUUGUUCUUGUUGAAAUGUUUGUAAUUUGCACUGUUAUGAUAUCUGUAAGCCUUGGAUGAAGGUCUCUCUUCUCUUCUUUUUUCCAGCAUUAUUCAAAAUGAACCUUGUUAAAAAUAAUUUGUGAGAAAUUGUCAACAUGAAAAGGAAAAAGUUGAAGUGACGAGAAAAUCGUCAAAAUAAUGAAAAUACAUGAAAAAAAUGUCAAAAUGAGGAGAAAAAAGUCACGAAAAAUUAUUCAAAAUGAGAAAAAAAAGGAAAUCAUGAGAAAAAACUCAAAAUAAUGAGAAAAAUGGUAGGUUUCCACCUACUCAGUCCAAGGUAUGUAAUAUCUUUUAUUACUGUAUUUUAGAAAAAGAUUGCUGUCUUUUAAUGUUUUUAUUAUGUUUUCUUUUCUUGUCCACUCAUGCAAGACAUGAGGCAUAUUUCCAUCUUCUUUUAUUUGAUUGUUUUGUUCUUGUUGAAAUGUUUGUAAUUUGCACUGUUUUGAUAUCUGUAAGCCUUGGAUGAAGGUCUCUCUUCUCUUCUUUUUUCCAGCAUUAUUCAAAAUGAACCUUGAUGAAAAUUACUUGUGAGAAAUUGUCAACAUGAAAAGAAAAAAGUUGACGUCACAAGAAAAAAGUCAAAAUGACAAAAACAAACCUCAUCUUGGUUUUAUUUGAUUGUAUUGUUCUUCUUGAAAUGUUUGUAAUUUGCACUGUUAUGAUAUCUGUAAGCCUUGGAUGAAGGUCUCUCUUCUCUUCUUUUUUCUAGCAUUAUUCAAAAUGAACCUUGAUAAAAAUAAGUUUUGAGAAAUUGUCAACAUGAAAAGGAAAAAGUUGAAGUGAUGAGAAAAUCGUCAAAAUAAUGAAAGAAAAGUCGAAACCAUGAAAAAAAGGUCAAAAUGAAAAGAAAAAGUAAAAAAAAAAAAGAAAAUCGACAAAAUAAUGAAAAUACAUGAAAAAAAUGUCAAAAUGAGGAGAAAAAAGUCACGAAAAAUUAUUCAAAAUGAGAAAAAAAAGGAAAUCAUGAGAAAAAACUCAAAAUAAUGAGAAAAAUGGUAGGUUCCACCUACUCAGUCCAAGGUAUGUAAUAUCUUUUAUUACUGUAUUUUAGAAAAAGAUUGCUGUCUUUUGAUGUUUUUAUUAGGUUUUCUUUUCUUGUCCACUCAUGCAAGACAUGAGGCAUAUUUCCAUCUUCUUUUAUUUGAUUGUUUUGUUCUUGUUGAAAUGUUUGUAAUUUGCACUGUUUUGAUAUCUGUAAGCCUUGGAUGAAGGUCUCUCUUCUCUUCUUUUUUCCAGCAUUAUUCAAAAUGAACCUUGAUGAAAAUUACUUGUGAGAAAUUGUCAACAUGAAAAGAAAAAAGUUGACGUCACAAGAAAAAAGUCAAAAUGACAAAAACAAACCUCAUCUUGGUUUUAUUUGAUUGUAUUGUUCUUCUUGAAAUGUUUGUAAUUUGCACUGUUAUGAUAUCUGUAAGCCUUGGAUGAAGGUCUCUCUUCUCUUCUUUUUUCUAGCAUUAUUCAAAAUGAACCUUGAUAAAAAUAAGUUGUGAGAAAUUGUCAACAUGAAAAGGAAAAAGUUGAAGUGACGAGAAAAUCGUCAAAAUAAUGAAAAAAAAGUCGAAACCAUGAAAAAAAGGUCAAAAUGAAAAGAAAAAGUAAAAAAAAAAAAAGAAAAUCGACAAAAUAAUGAAAAUACAUGAAAAAAAUGUCAAAAUGAGGAGAAAAAAGUCACGAAAAAUUAUUCAAAAUGAGAAAAAAAAGGAAAUCAUGAGAAAAAACUCAAAAUAAUGAGAAAAAUGGUAGGUUCCACCUACUCAGUCCAAGCAUUAUUCAAAAUGAACCUUGAUAAAAAUAAUUUGUGAGAAAUUGUCAACAUGAAAAGGAAAAAGUUGAAGUGACGAGAAAAUCGUCAAAAUAAUGAAAAUACAUGAAAAAAAUGUCAAAAUGAGGAGAAAAAAGUCCCGAAAAAUUAUUCAAAAUGAGAAAAAAAAGGAAAUCAUGAGAAAAAACUCAAAAUAAUGAGAAAAAUGGUAGGUUCCACCUACUCAGUCCAAGGUAUGUAAUAUCUUUUAUUACUGUAUUUUAGAAAAAGAUUGCUGUCUUUUGAUGUUUUUAUUAUGUUUUCUUUUCUUGUCCACUCAUGCAAGACAUGAGGCAUAUUUCCAUCUUCUUUUAUUUGAUUGUUUUGUUCUUGUUGAAAUGUUUGUAAUUUGCACUGUUUUGAUAUCUGUAAGCCUUGGAUGAAGGUCUCUCUUCUCUUCUUUUUUCCAGCAUUAUUCAAAAUGAACCUUGAUGAAAAUUACUUGUGAGAAAUUGUCAACAUGAAAAGAAAAAAGUUGACGUCACAAGAAAAAAGUCAAAAUGACAAAAACAAACCUCAUCUUGGUUUUAUUUGAUUGUAUUGUUCUUCUUAAAAUGUUUGUAAUUUGCACUGUUAUGAUAUCUGUAAGCCUUGGAUGAAGGUCUCUCUUCUCUUCUUUUUUCUAGCAUUAUUCAAAAUGAACCUUGAAAAAAAUAAGUUGUGAGAAAUUGUCAACAUGAAAAGGAAAAAGUUGAAGUGACGAGAAAAUCGUCAAAAUAAUGAAAAAAAAGUCGAAACCAUGAAAAAAAGGUCAAAAUGAAAAGAAAAAGUAAAAAAAAAAAAGAAAAUCGACAAAAUAAUGAAAAUACAUGAAAAAAAUGUCAAAAUGAGGAGAAAAAAGUCACGAAAAAUUAUUCAAAAUGAGAAAAAAAAGGAAAUCAUGAGAAAAAACUCAAAAUAAUGAGAAAAAUGGUAGGUUCCACCUACUCAGUCCAAGGUAUGUAAUAUCUUUUAUUACUGUAUUUUAGAAAAAGAUUGCUGUCUUUUGAUGUUUUUAUUAUGUUUUCUUUUCUUGUCCACUCAUGCAAGACAUGAGGCGUAUUUCCAUCUUCUUUUAUUUGAUUGUUUUGUUCUUGUUCAAAUGUUUGUAAUUUGCACUGUUAUGAUAUCUGUAAGCCUUGGAUGAAGGUCUCUCUUCUCUUCUUUUUUCCAGCAUUAUUCAAAAUGAACCUUGAUGAAAAUUACUUGUGAGAAAUUGUCAACAUGAAAAGGAAAAAGUUGAAGUGACGAGAAAAUCCUCAAAAUAAUGAAAGAAAAGUCGAAACCAUGAAAAAAAGGUCAAAAUGAAAAGAAAAAGUAAAAAAAAAAAAAAAGAAAAUCGACAAAAUAAUGAAAAUACAUGAAAAAAAUGUCAAAAUGAGGAGAAAAAAGUCACGAAAAAUUAUUCAAAAUGAGAAAAAAAAGGAAAUCAUGAGAAAAAACUCAAAAUAAUGAGAAAAAUGGUAGGUUCCACCUACUCAGUCCAAGGUAUGUAAUAUCUUUUAUUACUGUAUUUUAGAAAAAGAUUGCUGUCUUUUGAUGUUUUUAUUAUGUUUUCUUUUCUUGUCCACUCAUGCAAGACAUGAGGCAUAUUUCCAUCUUCUUUUAUUUGAUUGUUUUGUUCUUGUUGAAAUGUUUGUAAUUUGCACUGUUUUGAUAUCUGUAAGCCUUGGAUGAAGGUCUCUCUUCUCUUCUUUUUUCCAGCAUUAUUCAAAAUGAACCUUGAUGAAAAUUACUUGUGAGAAAUUGUCAACAUGAAAAGAAAAAAGUUGACGUCACAAGAAAAAAGUCAAAAUGACAAAAACAAACCUCAUCUUGGUUUUAUUUGAUU